AGUGAACGCUGGCGGUAGGCCUAACACAUGCAAGUCGAACGGCGGCACAGUAAGAGCUUGCUCUUACGGGUGGCGAGUGGCGGACGGGUGAGGAAUACAUCGGAAUCUACUUUUUCGUGGGGGAUAACGUAGGGAAACUUACGCUAAUACCGCAUACGACCUACGGGUGAAAGCAUGGGAUCUUCGGACCUUGCGCGAUUGAAUGAGCCGAUGUCGGAUUAGCUAGUUGGCGGGGUAAAGGCCCACCAAGGCGACGAUCCGUAGCUGGUCUGAGAGGAUGAUCAGCCACACUGGAACUGAGACACGGUCCAGACUCCUACGGGAGGCAGCAGUGGGGAAUAUUGGACAAUGGGCGCAAGCCUGAUCCAGCCAUACCGCGUGGGUGAAGAAGGCCUUCGGGUUGUAAAGCCCUUUUGUUGGGAAAGAAAAGCAGCAGGUUAAUACCCCGCUGUUCUGACGGUACCAAAAGAAUAAGCACCGGCUAACUUCGUG
rnacentral:rRNA from 1 species